AUCUGCAGCAUACUGGCUGAGUCAUACUGAUACCUGUAGUUGUGUCAACAGCUCUGAAACCUACAGAUUUCACGAUUUCCUUUACAUUUCUGAGUAAGUCAGCUCAGUCAUUUCAAUCGUACAGUUCCACGAACACGGCAACACAAUGGUCCAUGAGACACACAGACCAGAGCUGAGAUCCAUUUAGAGCCGAGAGGGAGAGAGAAAGAUUUGACACAACAGUAAUGGAACGUUGUGAAUCGGCGCGCAUGGAGAUGGAGAUAUGCAAAGCAGACAAGGCUUUGAAAGACAGGAAUGAGAGUGUCCACAAUGAAGCGAGGGUGUUACCGUCCAGCGGAGGGUCAGCCAAACCACGACAUGCCACAAUGAUCAGCCA
rnacentral:lncRNA from 1 species